UUUGUCAGGGCUUCAGUUUCCCCUUGGGCACCCAAAUCCUGAGUUUAAAAUGCUUCUUGUGGUAACCAUGUGGGCAGUGUUCCCCCUCUGUGUUCAACAUCCCUUGAGAGUGGAGAAGGAGACUUACUGUAUCUCUGAUAUGAUACCAGGAAAACAGUGAGUGAUCUUUGUGUUUCUUUCUUUCUUUCUGUUUUUCUUUCAAGGGCAAUGUUAAUGGUGCUCCUGAGUCUUCAGGAGAAGACGCUCUGAACAGGGCUGCAGCUCAAGAAGUUUCAUCUGGCACCGAGAGCUGCGGGAACAGUUCCCCAGAGCGUGAGGAGCCUGAUGCCAUCUGAUCUGCCUCUCCAGGAGGGCUGCCCUGUGUGGCAGGAAGACCCAGAGGGAGGGCCUGUGCCCGUCAGGCAGCUGGCAACCGGGCCGGUCGGAGCAGCAAUUCCAGCCCCAGGUGUCCCUGGAGCAGUGGGAUCUGCCAGUGGCCCCAGGCACUGUCCCCUGAGGAGCUGCUGA
rnacentral:lncRNA from 1 species